UGCGGAAGGAUCAUUACCGAGUGCGGGUCCUUUGGGCCCAACCUCCCAUCCGUGUCUAUUAUACCCUGUUGCUUCGGCGGGCCCGCCGCUUGUCGGCCGCCGGGGGGGCGCCUUUGCCCCCCGGGCCCGUGCCCGCCGGAGACCCCAACACGAACACUGUCUGAAAGCGUGCAGUCUGAGUUGAUUGAAUGCAAUCAGUUAAAACUUUCAACAAUGGAUCUCUUGGUUCCGGCAUCGAUGAAGAACGCAGCGAAAUGCGAUAACUAAUGUGAAUUGCAGAAUUCAGUGAAUCAUCGAGUCUUUGAACGCACAUUGCGCCCCCUGGUAUUCCGGGGGGCAUGCCUGUCCGAGCGUCAUUGCUGCCCUCAAGCCCGGCUUGUGUGUUGGGUCGCCGUCCCCCUCUCCGGGGGGACGGGCCCGAAAGGCAGCGGCGGCACCGCGUCCGAUCCUCGAGCGUAUGGGGCUUUGUCACAUGCUCUGUAGGAUUGGCCGGCGCCUGCCGACGUUUUCCAACCAUUUUUUCCAGGUUGACCUCGGAUCAGGUAGGGAUACCCGCUGAACUUAAGCAUAUCAAUAAGCGGAGGAAAAGAAACCAACCGGGAUUGCCUCAGUAACGGCGAGUGAAGCGGCAAGAGCUCAAAUUUGAAAGCUGGCUCCUUCGGAGUCCGCAUUGUAAUUUGCAGAGGAUGCUUUGGGUGCGGCCCCCGUCUAAGUGCCCUGGAACGGGCCGUCAGAGAGGGUGAGA
rnacentral:rRNA from 1 species